rnacentral:rRNA from 1 species
UGGGGAAUAUUGCGCAAUGGGGGAAACCCUGACGCAGCGACGCCGCGUGUGGGAUGAAGGUCUUCGGAUUGUAAACCACUGUCGCGAGGGACGAAGCUCUGACGGUACCCGCAUAAGAAGCACCGGCUAACUACGUGCCAGCAGCCGCGGUAAUACGUAGGGUGCAGGCGUUAAUCGGAAUUACUGGGCGUAAAGCGUGCGCAGGCGGUUUGUUAAGACAGGUGUGAAAUCCCCGGGCUUAACCUGGGAAUUGCGCUUGUAACUGGCAGGCUAGAGUGUGGCAGAGGGGGGUGGAAUUCCACGUGUAGCAGUGAAAUGCGUAGAUAUGUGGAGGAACACCGAUGGCGAAGGCAGCCCCCUGGGUUAACACUGACGCUCAUGCACGAAAGCGUGGGGAGCAAACAGGAUUAGAUACCCUGGUAGUCCCUGAGCGGGCUGGCAAGGCGCAU